UUGCCUCAUCAAACUUAAAGGAACACAGCGACUUACUGGGACUUUAGCUUAUUCACCGUAUCCCCCAGAGUUAAAUAAGUCCAUACAUACCCUUCUCAUCUCCGCGCGUGUCGUAACUCUGUCUGGCGCACCCACCGCUAGCCUAGUUUAGC